rnacentral:rRNA from 1 species
AGUGGCGACCGGGUGAGUAACAGGUGACUACCUACCUCCGAGUGGGGAAUAACUCCGGGAAACCGGGGCUAAUACCGCAUAACAUCGCAAGAUCAAAGCAGCAAUGCGCUUGGAGAGGGGGUCGCGGCUGAUUAGCUAGUUGGUAAGGUAACGGCUUACCAAGGCGAAGAUCGGUAUCCGGCCUGAGAGGGCGCACGGACACACUGGAACUGAAACACGGUCCAGACUCCUACGGGAGGCAGCAGUGGGGAAUUUUGCGCAAUGGGGGAAACCCUGACGCAGCAACGCCGCGUGGAGGAUGAAGCCCUUUGGGGCGUAAACUCCUUUCGACUGGGAAGAUAAUGACGGUACCAGUGGAAGAAGCACCGGCUAACUCUGUGCCAGCAGCCGCGGUAAUACAGAGGGUGCGAGCGUUGUUCGGAAUUAUUGGGCGUAAAGGGCGCGUAGGCGGUGCGGUAAGUCACCUGUGAAAUCCCCAGGCUUAACUUGGGGCCUGCAGGCGA